rnacentral:misc_RNA from 1 species
GAUGAAGACGCAGCGAAACGCGAUAUGUAAUGUGAAUUGCAGAAUUCAGUGAAUCAUCGAAUCUUUGAACGCACAUGGCGCCUUCCAGUAUCCUGGGAGGCAUGCCUGUCCGAGCGUCGUUUCAACCCUCGAGCCCCCGUGGCCCGGCGUUGGGGAUCUGCCACGGCAGGCCCCUAAAACCAGUGGCGGACCCGAAGGCCCUCUCCUUUGCGCAGUAGCAUCAGCCUCGCAUUGGGAUCCCUCGGCGUCCUGCCUCUAAACCCCCCACAAGUCCGCUCCGGCGGCACCAAGGUUGACCUCGGAUCAGGUAGGAAUACCCGCUGAACUUAAGCAUAUCAAUAAGCGGAGGA